rnacentral:lncRNA from 1 species
CUUCGCCCUUCACCCACCAAGCCCUCGUCGUUCCUCUUCAACCCCAGCAUCCCCCUGGGUUCCUGUGCAGGCCUCGGCUUCCAGGAACCCUGCCUUGGAGUGUGUGUGUGGCUCUGUGACCGGCAAGCAGGAGGCCACGGCUGUCCCACCCUCAGGGCUCUCACAUGGUGAGUGGCUUGGAGGACACCCUCCAUGUGGAGCUCAGGGCCACCACCCCGACAAGGCCUGCAAGCGUGGGCUUGUGCCUAUCACUCAUGCCUUCCCAGCUACCUCGGCCCAGUGAGAGUUGAGCACUGCGCUGAGCGCUCACAGCUGGGUCCCAGGAUCCAGCUCCGUGAGGCUGCCCAACGCAGAGCAGAGGGCAGAGGCAGCCUGGGUGGCCCAGCCACUGCCCCAACCUGAGGUCUCCCAGCAGCACCAGGUCUGGAAAAUGCGAAUCCCAAGAAACAUAAAAGAAACCCUGAGGAUCACAAAGAAAGCUGCGCUCUUGAGAAACAAAUACAUAAACAAAAAUAAAAAGGAGAAGAGAAGCAAGUUCGGCUUAGAAUCAUGGUGAGGACCUGCAGGCAUGCACGUGGACGCUGACCCAUGGAGGGAAUUGGUGUUCUCUGACCAUCCCUUCAGUGCAGAACAUCAGUCACAAUUUAAGUUCUGUUUAGGUAAACAAAUGACCUUUUCCUAUGGGGCAUUUUCAUUUUAUAAGGGUAUGAGCUCAUAGCAGGGCAAAUCACUUGGUAGUUAAGACAUCAGAUGAUGGUUCUCAGGGUGGCCCAGGCAGUAGGACAAUCAGAGACUUUCAGCUGCCCAGACCCCUCCCUGGACAAGAGAUGUGCAUGGCGACCCCGGCCCCUCCCUGUCCAUGUGACUCUCUUCUCCAUGACACUGUACAAAGGAGAGAACGUCCACAGUGACCCAGCCCCCAUCAAGUCACCCAAAGCUUGUGGGAAACAACCAAUAUGGAAAGAUAAAAAUUACUAAAUGCAAAAGCUGCAGGGGAAUGACAGCAAACACAAAUAAAUGAAAUGAAUGUCUUUAACUUAAACUACUUCUGGCCUCACUGUGUGUGCUUUAUGGCUCUAUGAGGUCAUUUUUGUGCAAAUAGGUGCCCAAAAUUGGAGUGCGUUCAAUUGACCAUCCUUCAAAUAAAAAGUGAGCGUAUCCUAAAAUGUAGAGAAGUCAAGCCUUUUUUUUUUUUGAGAUGGAGUCUCACUCUGUCACCCAGGCUGGAGUGCAGUGGUGUAAUCUUGGCUCACUGCAGGCUCUGCCUCCCGGGUUCACACCAUUCUCCUGCCUCAGCCUCCCAAGCAGCUGGGACAACAGGCGCCCGCCACCACACCCGGCUAAUUGUUUUUGUUUUUUUUUUUGUAUUUUUUAGUAGAGACGGGGUUUUACCGUGUUAUCCAGGAUGGUCUUGAUCUCCUGACCUUGUGAUCCGCCUGCCUUGGCCUCCCAAGCUGGGAUUACAGGUGUGAGCCACCGCGCCCGGCCGAGAAGUCAAGUCUUUCAGGACAUACCUAAAGAAGAUAGCAUCCAUGGUGCAUGGAGCAUGUGCCUCACCAGGCAUCACCAUACCCACCACAGCUCAUGCGUGCGGAUGCCUUUGCUACCCAGGACGGCCAUACAAGGAAGCCAUUGGGUCAGUCCUGUGCACAAACGGCAUGUCAAGAAAUUAAAUGAUUUCCUCAGGGCCCCGCAAUUACCUUCAGCAAAGCUGAGAUUCCCAGCCUUCUCUCCGCUCCCUGAGACUGACUCUGAAUUGCUUUUCUGCUGGAGAUGAAAACAAGAACAGAAACAGUGGAAACUAAUCACAUUUUUAAAAGUUUUACAUAACCACUUAAUUAUAAUACGCCUGCCCCAAAAGCACUCCUAACGUCCUAACACAUGGUAACUUAUUUGUUUAAUUUUAUAAGUAUUUUCAGGGACAUGGUGGGAGGGAGAGCAUCAGGAUAAAGAGCUAAUGCAUGUGAGGCUUAAUACCCAGGUGAUGGGUUGAUCUGUGCAGCAACCACCAUGGCAUACGUUUACUUGUGUAGCAAACCUGUACAUCCUGCACAUGUAUCCCGGGACUUAAAAUUAAGUUUAAAAAAAUAAAGUAUUUAUGGAAACAUGGAGCUCUUUCUCUCUCUUUUUCUACUUCAUAGAGUUUUCUUUCUUUCUUUUUUUUUUUUCCAGUACUUGUGAUUUUUCUUUAAACCUCAAAUAUUAUCGUCAUGGAAGAAAUACUCACAGUCCAUCAAGCUUGCCUGUCAGGAGCAUUUCCACCCUACAGACCAGCCAUGGAGGCAGAGUGCAGCCCGGGUCUGUGGGUCACCAGGCCUCAAAUGCCAUCCCAGCGCCAGUGAAAGUUUGCUGUGUUCCUUUACACUGUCCCCUGUGGGCCUGGCUUCCCUGUGAGAAGGUGAGGACUUGGCUCAGCUCCUUAAGUUCCUGUUCAGCUUCAGGUUAGGACUCUAUUAAAUAACAACCCGACACCUUCAGAUUCCUCCUCUACCCUCCAUGAGAUCAGCGACUAGCACCUUGUGCAUCUCAUUUUAGGUGCAUUUUUUUUUUUUUUUUUUUGAGACAGAGUCUCACUCUGUUGCCAGGCUGGAGUGCGGUGGCAUGAUCUCGGCUCACUGCAGCCUCCGCCUCCCAGGUUCAAGCGAUUUUCCUGCCUCAGCCUCCCGAGUAGCAGAGAUUAUAGGCACUCGCUACCACGCCCAUCUAAUUUUUGUGAUUAUAGUAGAGAUGGGAUUUCACCAUGUUACCAGGCUGGUCUGGAACUCCUGACCUCAGGUGAUCCGCCCACCUUGGCCUCCCAAAGUGCUGGAAUUACAGGUGUGAGCCACCGUGCCUGGCCUUGGCUGAUAUCUUAACGUUCAUAUGGUACUUUUUCCCAGAGCCUGUCGUGCCCUGCGCAGCUCCCUGACCAACUGAGAUCAGAUCAGGGAGGUCGUUUGAUCCUGUGUACACCACAGCUGACCGCGUGUGCAGCAGGACCCUCGGCAUGCUCUCAGGAGCUGCAGUCCGGGAAACACAGGAAAGCUGUCGGCUGUGGUGGAGACUUCAGGCUUAGGUCCUGGGGGGAUGGGUCCUCCAGUUCUCCCUCUGGGUCUCCGCGGGAACCCGGGUACUGCCUGUAAAGCCCCAGCCCUCCCCUCACUUGGCUUAAACCGCUGGGCAUUUCCUUCCACAGGUUAAAGAGCCCCAAACAAAACACGCAUUGAAACCUGCCUCCACAGCCCUCUCGGGCCUGCACAGGGCUGACCGGCACCCCUGGAGCCUGUCCACCUCUGGAAGGGCAGUUGCAUGGCUCUGAGCACCGACGGAAACCCCUCGACCUGGAGAGGCCGCCUGCGUGGGGCCGACGUUGCACAGGCUGACCUUGUAGGGCGGUGGGUGGGGGAUGCGGGGCAGGGGGCACAGCCCGGGCGCUCUUCCAGUGCUGGUUUGUCUAUUUCAUGUUGUCCACCCUGUCAUCCACCAAUUGUUCUUUGGGUCCAUUGGUAAUAAUAUCUCCCGCAUGGAUGGGCUCUUCCCAGAGCCUCGUGGGUGCUGAAUGAAGCCCAAGGAAUGGCCUUCACCAGACACUUUGUUUUGUUUUUUCUGUUUAUAAAAGGCAGGGCCCAGAUAGUUUCAUUUUCACAGGGACAUCUGUAAGCACACACUUUGAUUUACACUGGGAAGAGCCAAUGGUUCUCAUUUACAGAGGGUCAAGCUCCAGGAGGGAGGCAAGGGGACGCUUUGGAAAAUAAAGUUCUUCCUUUUACUCCUGUGGGCCUGAUGUGCUCUGUGAAGUUCAAACACUGUAUCGACCAUCUCAACUCUCAGGACAGCAUGUGACACCUCCAUCACUGGGAGCAAACUCUGUGCAGGAGCACCUGAUUCUGCCAGGGCAGGAAAUUCACUCUCAGAAGCAUGUUCCACUCAAGCGGACUUGGCCUGCGCUGUGAGUCAAUGUAAAGAGGGUGUGUUGGCUUCGGCUGGUUGACCUUCAGAAGUCGGAGAAGGCCAAAGUCCCACUGAAUAAACUGCAGAUGAAAGAGACUCAUGGGUCCUCAGAAGGAGGCAUAUGGCUGCUCUCGGGAUCUUGACUUUUGAAAUAUUUGUUUAAAGCAAACACUUGCAGUGGCCGUGGAAAGCCUCCCGUUUCCUCUGGACCCUCAGCCUCUCCCUCGCAGGGCACCGGGCUCUCUCCCUCGGGGACAAUGAGGCGAGAGAGGCUUUUGUUUAUUCUUCAGGAGUCUCUGAGAGUUCACAGUCAUGUUAAAAAUUAACCUGGGGCCAGGCGCGGUGGCUCAUGCCUGUAAUCCCAGCACUCUGGGAGGCCAAGGCACAGGCGGGUCACCUGAGGUCAGGAGUUCAAGACCAGCUUGGCCAACAUGGAGAAACCCCAUCUCUACUAAAAAUACAAAAAUGAGUCGGGUGUAGUGAUGGGUGCCUGUAGUCCCAGCUACUCAGGAGGCUGAGGCAGGAGACUCACUUGAACCCGGGAGGCGGAGUUUGCAGUGAACCGAGGUCGUGCCACCGUACUCCAGCCUGGGUGACAGAGUGAGACUCUGUCUCAAAAAAAAAAAAAAAAAAAAAUUAAGAAAAAGAAAAAAGAGACCAAGCAUGGUGGCUCAUGCCUGUAAUCCCAGCACUUUGGGAGGCCGAGGUAGGCUGAUCACCUGAGGUCAGGAGUUCAAGACCAGCCUGGCCAACAUGGUGAAACCACGUCUCUACUAAACGUAUAAAAAAUUAGCUGGGUGUGGUGGCGAGCACCUGUAAUCCCAGCUACUCAGGAGGCUGAGGCAGGAGAAUUGCUUGAACUUGGGAGGCAGAGAUUGUGGUGAGCCAAGAUCACGCCACUGCACUCCAGCCUGGGCGACAGAGUGAGACUGUGUCUAAAAAAAAAAAAAAAAAAAAAAUUAGCCUGGGCUCACACCAGCCUUGGGCUCCGCCGCUGGGCUCUCCUCAGAGUCCUUGGUCACACGGGCUGACACUUUGCCGAGUCCUGGCCCCAGGCCCAGAGGGACUCACCUUGCAGGAAGGGAGGGCCUCCUGAUUCCGGAUCCCACAGUCUGGAAUCACCAGACUGGGGCAAAUCCAUCUUCUGCCACUAAAACUUACCAGCAUCUUAAAGCCCAAAGUGCCCUUUUAUCUGUAUUUGCAAAUACAAGCUUAUUAUUUUCUAGAAAGAGACUCCUUACAACGAACAAAGUGCAAAGCAGUGUCCAUAUUUUAAUAGGCCUGAGCCUCAGGUGGGUGAUGCCUGCAUUUCAGGCUCAGCUCUGCACUUGAGCUGUAAAUAUGCGUUCCUUGAGAUUAAGACGAAAAGGAAAACCGUCCGACAAAUGUGUUUGGUGGAUUAUGACACCAUGACGCGUGGCCUCAGUUUCCUCACUUUGAAAAAUAUCCUUCAAGCAGCACAGAGCGGGCGGUUUGUCUCACGCUGGAGAAGGAAUUCAGACGCAAAGCUCGCCGCAGCCUCAGAGGGCAGGCGCACCAGGCUCCUGGGUUCUCUCCGUGAAGGAAACUGACGAAGCCUUCCCGAAGGCUGAUUUCUAACUGCCUGAUGCUUCCAACGAGGUGGAGCUGUGGGCACAGACUCCCCUGAAAAGCUGAAGACACGCGCGGAGAGUGGGCACUGGACACUGGUUUCCAGCCCCUUAGCCUGGUGCCUUCAGAGACCGCGCCCCACCUCAGGGCUCGGCUGGCAGCAGGAGCCGGCGUGGAACGGCACAGACGCCGGUGCUGGGGGUUGGGACGGGCGGGAUAGAGCCUCAAGUCUGUCUGCGGCCUGAGGCCUUUCUGUGGGCUGCUGCAGACGAUCACUGCCAGGUGGAGAAGAAAGCCCAAGACAAGCUCUGGUUUUUCUGCAUCUCUUAUUCCCAAACUGAUGUAUAUUUAGCUUCAGAGUAGCUGAACCUCCUCCUCCGCCCCCCAGCCCCCAUCUCCCUGUUAGAAACAAUCUGUGGGACCUGAACAUCCUCCCAGGGUCUAAGACCAGGCUCUCUGCUGAGCCACACUUUGAGAACAGUGCUGUAAUUAAAUACACACGUGUAUUUUUUUAAAAUAACAAAAUAUAUUUAAAAACGUAUUUUUCCUACCUAUUCCCUUGUAAUGUUUCUCUUUAGAUGUGAACAUAAUUAAAUGUAAAUUUGUUUUACUCCAUUUUUAUUAUCCAAGUGUUUUUUACUUUGUGAUUCUUUAAGUUCCUUAGAUUUAUAAUUAUAAAGUUGUUAAAUUUUCUGUUAAAUUUAUAAACUAUAUUUGUCU